UACGGAAUCUUCGGCAAUGGGGGCAACCCUGAACCGAGCAACGCCGCGUGAGUGACGACGGUGUUCGGAUCGUAGAAGCUCUGCUUGUAAGAGAAAACCGUGUGUGAAGAGUGGAAAGUUCACACAGUGACGGUAACUUACCAGACGGGACGCCCAACUACGU
rnacentral:rRNA from 1 species